UACGAGGGGGGCAAGCGUUGUUCGGAAUUAUUGGGCGUAAAGGGCGCGUAGGCGGCUCGGCACGUCCGUUGUGAAAUCGCCCGGCUCAACUGGGCGAGGUCGGCGGAUACGGCCGAGCUGGAGCAAGCUAGGGGGUAAUGGAAUUCCCGGUGUAGUGGUGGAAUGCGUAGAUAUCGGGAGGAACACCAGUGGCGAAGGCGGUUACCUGGAGCUUUGCUGACGCUGAUGCGCGAAAGCGUGGGGAGCGAUCCGG
rnacentral:rRNA from 1 species